rnacentral:rRNA from 1 species
GGGCGUAAGGGCUCCAGGCGGUUUCUUAAGUCUGAUGUGAAAGCCCCCGGCUCAACCGGGGAGGGUCAUUGGAAACUGGGGAACUUGAGUGCAGAAGAGGAGAGUGGAAUUCCACGUGUAGCGGUGAAAUGCGUAGAGAUGUGGAGGAACACCAGUGGCGAAGGCGACUCUCUGGUCUGUAACUGACGCUGAGGAGCGAAAGCGUGGGGAGCGAACAGGAUUAGAUACCCUGGUAGUCCACGCCGUAAACGAUGAGUGCUAAGUGUUAGGGGGUUUCCGCCCCUUAGUGCUGCAGCUAACGCAUUAAGCACUCCGCCUGGGGAGUACGGUCGCAAGACUGAAACUCAAAGGAAUUGACGGGGGCCCGCACAAGCGGUGGAGCAUGUGGUUUAAUUCGAAGCAACGCGAAGAACCUUACCAGGUCUUGACAUCCUCUGACAAUCCUAGAGAUAGGACGUCCCCUUCGGGGGCAGAGUGACAGGUGGUGCAUGGUUGUCGUCAGCUCGUGU